rnacentral:rRNA from 1 species
UACGUAGGGGGCAAGCGUUGUCCGGAAUUAUUGGGCGUAAAGAGCGUGUAGGCGGCCCGAUUAGUCCGCUGUAAAAGUCCAGGGCUCAACCCUGGAAAGCCGGUGGAUACUGUCGGGCUAGAGUCCGGAAGAGGCGAGUGGAAUUCCUGGUGUAGCGGUGGAAUGCGCAGAUAUCAGGAGGAACACCGAUGGCGAAGGCAGCUCGCUGGGACGGUACUGACGCUGAGGCGCGAAAGCGUGGGGAGCGAACAGG